rnacentral:rRNA from 1 species
CUGGGAUUAGAUACCCCACUAUGCUUAGCCCUAAACACAAAUAAUUAUAUUAACAAAAUUAUUCGCCAGAGUACUACCGGCAAUAGCCUAAAACUCAAAGGACUUGGCGGUGCUUUAUAUCCCCCUAGAGGAGCCUGUUCUAUAAUCGAUAAACCCCGAUAGACCUCACCAAUUCUUGCUAAUGCAGUCUAUAUACCGCCAUCUUCAGCAAACCCUAAAAAGGUACAAAAGUAAGCGCAAUCACAAUGCAUAAAAACGUUAGGUCAAGGUGUAACCUAUGAAAUGGGAAGAAAUGGGCUACAUUUUCUACACCAAGAAUACCCAACACGAAAGUUAUUAUGAAAGUUAAUAACCAAAGGAGGAUUUAGCAGUAAACUAAGAAUAGAGUGCUUAGUUGAACUAGGCCAUGAAGCACGCACACACCGCCCGUCACCCUCCUCAAGUAAAUAUAAUGCAUCCAACCCUAUUUAAAUGCACUAACCACAUGAGAGGAGACAAGUCGUAACAAGGUAAGCAUACUG